AUUGCCUUAGUAACGGCGAGUGAAGCGGCAAAAGCUCAAAUUUGAAAUCUGGCACCUUCGGUGUCCGAGUUGUAAUUUGAAGAAGGUAACUUUGGAAUUGGCUCUUGUCUAUGUUCCUUGGAACAGGACGUCACAGAGGGUGAGAAUCCCGUGCGAUGAGAUGCCCAAUUCUAUGUAAAGUGCUUUCGAAGAGUCGAGUUGUUUGGGAAUGCAGCUCUAAGUGGGUGGUAAAUUCCAUCUAAAGCUAAAUAUUGGCGAGAGACCGAUAGCGAACAAGUACAGUGAUGGAAAGAUGAAAAGAACUUUGAAAAGAGAGUGAAAAAGUACGUGAAAUUGUUGAAAGGGAAGGGCUUGAGAUCAGACUUGGUAUUUUGCGAUCCUUUCCUUCUUGGUUGGGUUCCUCGCAGCUUACUGGGCCAGCAUCGGUUUGGAUGGUAGGAUAAUGACUAAGGAAUGUGGCUCUGCUUCGGUGGAGUGUUAUAGCCUUGGUUGAUACUGCCUGUCUAGACCGAGGACUGCGUCUUUGACUAGGAUGCUG
rnacentral:rRNA from 1 species